rnacentral:lncRNA from 1 species
AAAAAUGAGCGAUUGUUUAUUUAGAAGUAGGAGCUUCCUUUGUUGGGACUUUAGUCGUUUCGAAUCUAUAGAUGAAGAUGGGGUCCAGGAUAUAAUCUGUGUGAAUAUAUACUGAGUUUUAUGCAUUAUUCAACAUGAUAGGUUAAAAGCAAUCUAUAGUGAGACAGGCUUUUAUGCGAUUUCAUUUCCAAUUUCUCCCUCUCACUUUAAAAAAAAAACAAUAAUCUUGAUACUGUAUUUAAAAACUAGCUUUCAUUGAACGCUUACCCCAAGUAUAACAUUCUUUGAUUGUAUAUGUCUGUAAAAAUUAAAAUAUAGAGCAAUUUGUAUGCACAUAUCGCGAUGAGACAAGUUCCUGCAGCAAUGAGCAAUGUCAAGUUCCUACUCCUCGUCCAUUAAGGUGUUGGUCCCUAUCAUGCUGGCGGUGCAGCAGUAUGACCUCAUAAUACACGACUCAGCAGCAUCAGUCAUCCUUUGUUGAGUUUUACUGGGGGUACAGGAUGUUUAAGGGAAAAAGCAUUUUUGAAAAAUAGGCCCCCGUACUCAACAUUUUCUUUGGCGCAG